AAAAAAAAGAAAAAAGAAAAAAGUAUAUUAUAAUCAUCAAAAGUAUUCACUCACCGCAUAUUUUACAAGAAUGACUUCAAACUAUAAUCAUUUUUAAUGCAAAAUAUUCAAUUUAGCCACUGUACUUAAUAAUUUAGCCCAUUUUCAACCUUUUUAUCCAAUUUAGCCCAAAAAUUUCAAUUUGAACUCAAUUUAGCCUAAAACUUAAAAUUUAUAGGCUAAUUUUCUUUAUUUUUUUUAUUUAAAUCAAAAAUUUAAAAAUUUAACCUAUAAAUU
rnacentral:misc_RNA from 1 species